CCUACGGGAGGCAGCAGUGGGGAAUUUUGGACAAUGGGCGCAAGCCUGAUCCAGCAAUGCCGCGUGCAGGACGAAGGCCUUCGGGUUGUAAACUGCUUUUGUACAGAACGAAAGGGCUCUGGAUAAUACCUGGGGCAGAUGACGGUACUGUAAGAAUAAGCACCGGCUAACUACGUGCCAGCAGCCGCGGUAAUACGUAGGGUGCGAGCGUUAAUCGGAAUUACUGGGCGUAAAGCGUGCGCAGGCGGUUUUGUAAGACCGAUGUGAAAUCCCCGGGCUCAACCUGGGAACUGCAUUGGUGGCUGCAAGGCUGGAGUGCGGUAGAGGGGGAUGGAAUUCCGCGUGUAGCAGUGAAAUGCGUAGAUAUGCGGAGGAACACCGAUGGCGAAGGCAAUCCCCUGGGCCUGCACUGACGCUCAUGCACGAAAGCGUGGGGAGUAAACAGGAUUAGAUACCCUGGUAGUCCACGCCCUAAACGAUGUCAACUGGUUGUUGGGUCUUUGCUGACUCAGUAACGAAGCUAACGCGUGAAGUUGACCGCCUGGGGAGUACGGCCGCAAGGUUGAAACUCAAAGGAAUUGACGG
rnacentral:rRNA from 1 species